CACUUCUUUCCCACUGUUGAAAGCUUCGAAUAGUAUCAUCUUCUCCAUCUCUUCUUAUACUCAACUAUCAUUGAAAUUAUCCACCAAAUCGCUUUAAAUCACCAUUUUCGUCCCUAAUUUGAGCUGCCCAAAAUAUUUGGACAGCUUUAUUGACCUCACAGAGAGCAAAAAUCCCUAGAUUAAUGCAAACUUGCUCACUAGCACGAACACGGAAAAUUGGCCUUGAAUUUUGGGAGAAAGCUAGAGUUCGAAGAUUAAAUGUUGAGGAAAACAAGAGCUAGGGGAGUGAAGGCAUAAUUUGAGGUAAAUAAUCUCAAUAUUUUCGAUAUUUUUUGUCAAAUACAGGUAGGGUAGACUGAAUCUUGAAUUUGUGGUCCCAAUUUUCCACUUAAAUCUUUCAAUGGUGAGAGAUUGAGAGAGUUGUGAGAGUGAAACGAAGUGAAAGAGAGGGUCUCCAGCUAUUAUCCCCUCUUCUUUCUUGAGUCAUGCAUUCUUGUUGAGGCCCAACUCAAACCCUUUUUUCUUUUAAAACUUCCAACUCAGUUUGUAAAGUCCACGUUAAACAAUUCUUUGUGGAAUUUUAUGUCAACCCACUUGGCCGAAGUCCACUUUAAGCACUUCCAUGCUAUUAAGAGAUGGUACUCGUGAAAUGGUGAAAACUCGGUUGAUUUGGGUGACUCGUGAAAUGGUGAAUGUGUUGGGAGCAGGAUUUGAUGGUUUAUUGGUGGCACUUUUGGAGCAAAUUGUUGGUGGUGAUUUUAGCUGAGGAAAUUUGUGGCUAUAUUUUGUUUUUGGUUAGUCUCUUUUAGGACAAAUAGGAUUGCUUAUUGGAGGAUGAACCUCUAGUUUUGACCGGUGCUUUUUGGAAUUUCGAAAGGCAGAAACAGGGGAGAUGCUUGCACCCAUUGCUGUUUCACUGUUGAUUUGAAUGAACCUUGAGCAAAGUAGAUUGUAGCAACCCGUGGCCUGAUAUGCAUCACUCUGCAAAUUUGAAGUCAGGGGAUGCAUAAGAAGCCAUUAUUGUCACUCAUCAGCUGAUAGUAAAUGAAACUCAUUUGAAAAGAACAAAUCUUUGAGCAACUUAUAGUCCUAUAGGUAAAAAGCCUUGUGUUGUUGUCAUCAUAAAGGUCCGGGCUUACCUGUUAGAAAUCACAUGCACCUUUCAAUUAGGCUAAAAUAGUGCAAAACGAAUAUUAAAAGUAUCUUGAUGUUUUACAUCAAUAUCACCACACAAGCAUUUCCUUAGUAGCACGUGUCAUGUAGAAAUUGAAAUAGUUUUAGUAAAAAAUAUCAUAUUUGCCAGCCCACUUCAAUGCUGUUAAGAUCUUUACUAAAAGAACCACCCAAUAUCCAUAGUUGAGACAAGCUGAACUAGAGGUUCAUUUUUUGGCUGAUCAUUGUAGGCUUUUCUUUGUUUCUCCUUUAUAUAACACUACUGUUGUACAUUUGAGAGGGUUCCUCAAAUUACAGAUAAAGCUUUCUAUACCUAAAUUUCUGCUAAAAGUGUUCCUUGUCAGUCUUGGUUCUUAGGUGUCAAUUGUUUAGAUGUUGAGCAACUUUGCAUGCUUUGUUUAAGCCGUUUAGCGCUUUUUUUGUUGGUACUCUCUUUUCCUUUCAUUUCAUCAGCUGCUUUGCUUUCAUUUCAGUGAUAUAGUUUGCACGUUGUGCAUGUAUUAAAGUAUAUAUACUUUCUCUAUUUCGCUGCUCUAAUUUCCAAUUGUUGUGUGCCAAGUUUGAAGACUAUUGUAAAGCUUAGGUCCCCCAAAGGCCAAACCGAUGAGAUUUGUAACAAAGCCCACUCUUACCACGAGAGAAAGAAAGCAGAACCUUGGUUCGCACUGCACAAUGUGCAACUGCAGUUAUUCUAUUCUUUUCCAAUGUUCAAGUAACCCUCAUAUGCGCUCUUAGCGUAAGUUAUGCAGUCUUGGUUUUGCAUGCUUCGUUCAGAAAACAAUCUACGCGAAGUGACAGAAACAGGAGGAGCAGUAAAAGAUGAGGAGAAACAAUGAAGUGUUGAAGAUUACUGUCAGUACAUUGUAGCUGGCCAGACUGCCCAGACCAUAUCUGCUUGCUGAACCUAUUAGCUAUAUGUCCUGCAGAUACUAGUGUCCAAUUUUAUCAAAUCACAAACUAGGUUCGAUUCAUCUGUUCUUUUCUACCUCUCUCUUCUCACGGGUACUCAGUUAUCGACUAGUUUAUAUUUUGGGAAGGAUAUGUAUUGGCCAUUACUAGAACUGAUUAUGUGGGAUUUGGGACCCAACAUUUGUGAUUCACUUUUGUUUUGAUUAAUUUAUAGAUGUGUUAUGCCCAAA